GUUGAUGUGAGGUCAGCGUUUUGGUGCAAAAUGGCUGCCAUGCAUCACCCAGAAGUAUUGUUCAGAACACAGCCAUUGAGGGGCUUUCCAGGCUGAUCAGUACAGACAGAUUCAACAGGAGAGUAUUAAUUAAAGAAAGCAAAUUGGCAUUACGGUUGCUUUGCCAGAAGGAGGUUACGGGUUCGAGUCCCAAGGGGCCAGACCCGGAUGACUGGAGUUUGCAUGUUCUCCUAGUGUUUGCGUGGGUUUCCUCUGGGUGCUCUGGUUUCCUCCCACACCGAAAGACAUGCAUGUCAGGUUAAGCCUACUCCUGCCAUUGCCCUUGACCAGAGCACUGGCCUUAGAGCUGGAGUUGGUCCCUGGGCGCUGCACUGUGGCUGCCCACUGCUGCUAAGUAACAAGGAUUUGUCCUCUGUAUUUAACAAGGGUUAAAUACAGAGGACAAAUUAUCCCCACGGAAUUCCCCCACAAGUAUAUCCUACGUCAGUUUUUACAUUAUGCCAGUACUUAAUCCUCAAGCACAGCAUUUUCAGAUGGCACGCACCAUAAGGAAUAUUUCCAGCUUGAAAGCUGUUCAACACUUUUUCUUUUUAAAGAAUGAUCAGCUAGUCUACAUAUGUAUGAGCUCUGAAGGUGUAAGUUAGCUUUUGAGUUAGCUGAAGUGUAUUUCCUGCUAUACAACCCCUCAAUGUCCUUUACAUGCUACUACAAUGCUAACAGGUUAGCAGAAAUGUAUGUACAUGUCUAAAAUAUCCUUCAUCACACACAAAAAGUUUUUUUUUUGUACCCAGAAACUGAACUAC